GACGAACGCUGGCGGCGUGCUUAACACAUGCAAGUCGAACGGAAAGGCCCUGCUUUUGUGGGGUGCUCGAGUGGCGAACGGGUGAGUAACACGUGAGUAACCUGCCCUUGACUUUGGGAUAACUUCAGGAAACUGGGGCUAAUACCGGAUAGGAGCUCCUGCUGCAUGGUGGGGGUUGGAAAGUUUCGGCGGUUGGGGAUGGACUCGCGGCUUAUCAGCUUGUUGGUGGGGUAGUGGCUUACCAAGGCUUUGACGGGUAGCCGGCCUGAGAGGGUGACCGGCGACAUGGGGACUGAGAUACGGACCAGAGUCCUACGGGAGGCAGCAGUGGGGAAUAUGGCACAGUGGGCGGAAGCCUGAUGCAGAAACGCUGCGUGCGGGAUGACGGCCUUCGGGUUGUAAACAGCUUUCGCCUGUGACGAAGCGUGAGUGACGGUAAUGGGUAAAGAAGCACCGGCUAACUACGUG
rnacentral:rRNA from 1 species